UAAUAAUUUAUAGGUAUCGCA
rnacentral:piRNA from 1 species